GUAGGGUCCGAGCGUUGUCCGGAAUUAUUGGGCGUAAAGGGCUCGUAGGCGGUUUGUCGCGUCGGGAGUGAAAACAUAGGGCUUAACUGUGAGCUUGCUUUCGAUACGGGCAGACUUGAGGUAUUCAGGGGAGAACGGAAUUCCUGGUGUAGCGGUGAAAUGCGCAGAUAUCAGGAGGAACACCGGUGGCGAAGGCGGUUCUCUGGGAAUGACCUGACGCUGAGGAGCGAAAGUGUGGGGAGCGAACAGGAUUAGAUACCCUGGUAGUCCACACCGUAAACGUUGGGCGCUAGGUGUGGGAUCCAUUCCACGGGUUCCGUGCCGCAGCUAACGCAUUAAGCGCCCCGCCUGGGGAGUACGGCCGCAAGGCUA
rnacentral:rRNA from 1 species